rnacentral:rRNA from 1 species
GUAGUCCACGCCUUAAACGAUGGGUACUCGGUGCUGGACCGCAAGGUUCAGUGCCAAAGCUAACGCAUUAAGUACCCCACCUGGGGAGUACGAUCGCAAGGUUGAAACUCAAAGGAAUUGACGGGGGCCCGCACAAGCAGUGGAGCAUGUGGUUCAAUUCGAUGCAACGCGAAGAACCUUACCUGGGUUUGAAAAGCCAGUGACAGCCGAUGAAAGUCGGUCUUGUAGCAAUACACACUGGUACAGGUGCUGCAUGGCUGUCGUCAGCUCGUGCCGUGAGGUGUUAGGUUAAGUCCUGCAACGAGCGCAACCCCUACAUUUAGUUGCCAUCAGGUAAUGCUGGGCACUCUAAAUGGACUGCCUACGCAAGUAGCGA